rnacentral:rRNA from 1 species
UUCGCCCUUAGAGUUUGAUCCUGGCUCAGAACGAACGCUGGCGGCAGGCUUAACACAUGCAAGUCGAACGCCCCUUUCGGGGGGAGUGGCAGACGGGUGAGUAACACGUGGGAACGUACCUCUUUGUUCGGAAUAACUCAUGGAAACGUGAGCUAAUACCGGAUACGCCCUUUUGGGGAAAGAUUUAUCGCAGAGAGAUCGGCCCGCGUCUGAUUAGCUAGUUGGUGAGGUAAUGGCUCACCAAGGCGACGAUCAGUAGCUGGUCUGAGAGGAUGAUCAGCCACACUGGGACUGAGACACGGCCCAGACUCCUACGGGAGGCAGCAGUGGGGAAUAUUGGACAAUGGGGGCAACCCUGAUCCAGCCAUGCCGCGUGAGUGAUGAAGGCCUUAGGGUUGUAAAGCUCUUUUAUCCGGGAAGAUAAUGACUGUACCGGAAGAAUAAGCCCCGGCUAACUUCGUGCCAGCGGCCGCGGUAAUACGAAGGGGGCUAGCGUUGUUCGGAAUCACUGGGCGUAAAGGGCGCGUAGGCGGACGAUUAAGUCAGGGGUGAAAUCCCGGGGCUCAACCUCGGAAUUGCCCUUGAUACUGGUUGUCUUGAGAUUGGAAGAGGUAAGUGGAAUUGCGAGUGUAGAGGUGAAAUUCGUAGAUAUUCGCAAGAACACCGGUGGCGAAGGCGACUUACUGGUCCAUAUCUGACGCUGAGGCGCGAAAGCGUGGGGAGCAAACAGGAUUAGAUACCCUGGUAGUCCACGCCGUAAACGAUGGAUGCCAGCUGUUGGGGAGCAUGCUCUUCAUUGGCGCAGUCAAC